CUGGCCUCAAAUCAGGUAGGGCUACCCGCUGAACUUAAGCAUAUCAAUAAGCGGAGGAAAAGAAACUAACUAGGAUUCCCUUAGUAACGGCGAGUGAACCGGGAUGAGCUCAAAUUUGAAAUCUGGCGUCUUUCAGGCGUCCGAGUUGUAAUCUAUAGAGGCGUUUUCCGCGCCGGACCGCGUCCAAGUCUCUUGGAAUAGAGUAUCAAAGAGGGUGACAAUCCCGUACUUGACGCGACAACCGGUGCUCUGUGAUACGCUCUCAAUGAGUCGAGUUGUUUGGGAAUGCAGCUCUAAAUGGGUGGUAAAUUCCAUCUAAGGCUAAAUAUUGGCGAGAGACCGAUAGCGAACAAGUACCGUGAGGGAAAGAUGAAAAGCACUUUGGAAAGAGAGUUAAACAGCACGUGAAAUUGUUAAAAGGGAAACGAUUGAAGUCAGUCGUGUGGGAAGUAUUCAGCCGUCUCUGGCGGUGUAUUUGCUUCUCACGGGUCAACAUCAGUUUGAUCCGGUAGAAAAAGGCGGGAAGAAGGUGGCACCCUCGGGUGUGUUAUAGCUUCCUGUCAUAUGUGCCGGACCAGACUGAGGAACGCAGCUUGCAGCAAUGCCGGGGUCGCCCACGUACAAGCUAGGA
rnacentral:rRNA from 1 species